AGUGAACGCUGGCGGUAGGCCUAACACAUGCAAGUCGAACGGCAGCACAGUAAGAGCUUGCUCUUACGGGUGGCGAGUGGCGGACGGGUGAGGAAUACAUCGGAAUCUACUUUUUCGUGGGGGAUAACGUAGGGAAACUUACGCUAAUACCGCAUACGCCCUACGGGUGAAAGCAGGGGAUCUUCGGACCUUGCGCGACUGAAUGAGCCGAUGUCGGAUUAGCUAGUUGGCGGGGUAAAGGCCCACCAAGGCGACGAUCCGUAGCUGGUCUGAGAGGAUGAUCAGCCACACUGGAACUGAGACACGGUCCAGACUCCUACGGGAGGCAGCAGUGGGGAAUAUUGGACAAGGGGCGCAAGCCUGAUCCAGCCAUACCGCGUGGGUGAAGAAGGCCUUCGGGUUGUAAAGCCCUUUUGUUGGGAAAGAAAAGCAGCAGGUUAAUACCCCGCUGUUCUGACGGUACCCAAAGAAUAAGCACCGGCUAACUUCGUG
rnacentral:rRNA from 1 species